rnacentral:rRNA from 1 species
GGCAGCAGCCGCGGGAACACCGGCGGCCCGAGUGGUGAUCGUGAUUAUUGGGUCUAAAGGGUCCGUAGCCGGUUUGGUCAGUCCUCCGGGAAAUCUGAUAGCUCAACUAUUAGGCUUUCGGGGGAUACUGCCAGACUUGGAACCGGGAGAGGUAAGAGGUACUACAGGGGUAGGAGUGAAAUCUUGUAAUCCCUGUGGGACCACCUGUGGCGAAGGCGUCUUACCAGAACGGGUUCGACGGUGAGGGACGAAAGCUGGGGGCACGAACCGGAUUAGAUACCCGGGUAGUCCCAGCCGUAAACGAUGCUCGCUAGGUGUCAGGCAUGGCGCGACCGUGUCUGGUGCCGCAGGGAAGCCGUGAAGCGAGCCACCUGGGAAGUACGGCCGCAAGGCUGAAACUUAAAGGAAUUGGCGGGGGAGCACAACAACGGGUGGAGCCCUGCGGUUUAAUUGGACUCAACGCCGGACAACUCACCGGGGGCGACAGCAAUAUGUAGGCCAAGCUGAAGACUUUGCCUGAAUCGCUGAGAGUGGAGGUGCAUGG